CACGUUCGGGGUACGAAAUACAAAUUACCUUACAAUUUCAGUUUCAACCUGGAUGUUCCAUUACACUUUAUAAACACUUUCAUUUAUCAAGAAACGCAUUUGAUUCUCACACCUGAGCAGUAUUUCUAAACUACGUAGUCCAAGAUGACUAGUGAAUGUGAUGACAUGGACAUUGACAGUGGUGUCAGUGACAUGACAGAAACUGAAAGCUUAAGCAGUGUAGCCUCCGACUCCACUAUUAUAGGUUCACCACCUUCAAGUGUAAUUAUGGACGAUUCAGAAGUACGUAAGGCAG
rnacentral:sRNA from 1 species